GAUGAACGCUGGCGGCGUACCUAAUACAUGCAAGUCGAGCGAACGGACGAGAAGCUUGCUUUUCUGAUGUUAGCGGCGGACGGGUGAGUAACACGUGGAUAACCUACCUAUAAGACUGGGAUAACUUCGGGAAACCGGAGCUAAUACCGGAUAAUAUUUUGAACCGCAUGGUUCAAAAGUGAAAGACGGUCUUGCUGUCACUUAUAGAUGGAUCCGCGCUGCAUUAGCUAGUUGGUAAGGUAACGGCUUACCAAGGCAACGAUGCAUAGCCGACCUGAGAGGGUGAUCGGCCACACUGGAACUGAGACACGGUCCAGACUCCUACGGGAGGCAGCAGUAGGGAAUCUUCCGCAAUGGGCGAAAGCCUGACGGAGCAACGCCGCGUGAGUGAUGAAGGUCUUCGGAUCGUAAAACUCUGUUAUUAGGGAAGAACAUAUGUGUAAGUAACUGUGCACAUCUUGACGGUACCUAAUCAGAAAGCCACGGCUAACUACGUGCCAGCAGCCGCGGUAAUACGUAGGUGGCAAGCGUUAUCCGGAAUUAUUGGGCGUAAAGCGUGCGUAGGCGGUUUUUUAAGUCUGAUGUGAAAGCCCACGGCUCAACCGUGGAGGGUCAUUGGAAACUGGAAAACUUGAGUGCAGAAGAGGAAAGUGGAAUUCCAUGUGUAGCGGUGAAAUGCGCAGAGAUAUGGAGGAACACCAGUGGCGAAGGCGACUUUCUGGUCUGUAACUGACGCUGAUGUGCGAAAGCGUGGGGAUCAAACAGGAUUAGAUACCCUGGUAGUCCACGCCGUAAACGAUGAGUGCUAAGUGUUAGGGGGUUUCCGCCCCUUAGUGCUGCAGCUAACGCAUUAAGCACUCCGCCUGGGGAGUACGACCGCAAGGUUGAAACUCAAAGGAAUUGACGGGGACCCGCACAAGCGGUGGAGCAUGUGGUUUAAUUCGAAGCAACGCGAAGAACCUUACCAAAUCUUGACAUCCUUUGACAACUCUAGAGAUAGAGCCUUCCCCUUCGGGGGACAAAGUGACAGGUGGUGCAUGGUUGUCGUCAGCUCGUGUCGUGAGAUGUUGGGUUAAGUCCCGCAACGAGCGCAACCCUUAAGCUUAGUUGCCAUCAUUAAGUUGGGCACUCUAAGUUGACUGCCGGUGACAAACCGGAGGAAGGUGGGGAUGACGUCAAAUCAUCAUGCCCCUUAUGAUUUGGGCUACACACGUGCUACAAUGGACAAUACAAAGGGCAGCGAAACCGCGAGGUCAAGCAAAUCCCAUAAAGUUGUUCUCAGUUCGGAUUGUAGUCUGCAACUCGACUACAUGAAGCUGGAAUCGCUAGUAAUCGUAGAUCAGCAUGCUACGGUGAAUACGUUCCCGGGUCU
rnacentral:rRNA from 1 species